CGACGCUGGGCGGCGUGCUAACGCAUGCAAGUCGAGCGGGAUGGUAGCUGAAAGUGAUGAGCUGGAAAGCUAUCAUCUUAGCGGCGGACGGGUGAGUAACACGUGAGCAACUACCCCUCAGCACGGGGAUAACAGCUCGAAAGGGCUGCUAAUACCCGAUGGGACCACGUCAUCGCAUGGUGAUGUGGUGAAAGGGUGGACGUAAGGUCCAUACCGGCUGGGGAUGGGCUCGCGGCCCAUCAGCUAGUUGGUGGGGUAACGGCCUACCAAGGCGACGACGGGUAGCCGGCCUGAGAGGGUGACCGGCCACAGUGGGACUGAGACACGGCCCACACUCCUACGGGAGGCAGCAGCGGGGAAUCUUGCGCAAUGGGCGAAAGCCUGACGCAGCGACGCCGCGUGAGGGAAGGAGCCCUUCGGGGUGUAAACCUCUUUGGACGGGGAGAAAGUAGGAGAUAGUACCCGUUUAAAAAGCCACGGCUAACUACGUGCCAGCAGCCGCGGUAAUACGUAGGUGGCGAGCGUUGUCCGGAAUUACUGGGCGUAAAGGGUGCGUAGGCGGCCUGGUAAGUUGAGCGUGAAAUUUUUGGGCCUCAACCCAAAAAGGAGCGUUUCAAGACUGCCAGGGCUUGAGUGCGGGAGAGGACGGCGGAAUUCCCGG
rnacentral:rRNA from 1 species